AACGAACGCUGGCGGCAUGCCUAACACAUGCAAGUCGAACGAGACCUUCGGGUCUAGUGGCGCACGGGUGCGUAACGCGUGGGAACCUGCCCUUAGGUUCGGAAUAACUCCCCGAAAGGGGUGCUAAUACCGGAUAAUGUCUUCGGACCAAAGAUUUAUCGCCUUUGGAUGGGCCCGCGUUGGCUUAGCUAGUUGGUAGGGUAAAAGCCUACCACGGCGACGAUCCAUAGCUGGUUUGAGAGGAUGAUCAGCCACACUGGUAGUGAGACACGGCCCAGACUCCUACGGGAGGCAGCAGUGGGGAAUAUUGGACAGUGGGCGGUAGCCUGAUCCAGCAAUGCCGCGUGAGUGAUGAAGGCCUUAGGGUUGUAAAGCUCUUUUACCCGGGAUGAUAAUGACGGUACCGGGAGAAUAAGCACCGGCUAACUCCGUG
rnacentral:rRNA from 1 species